UACGUAAGGUGCGAGCGUUGUCCGGAAUUAUUGGGCGUAAAGAGCUCGUAGGCGGUGUGUCACGUCGGCCGUGAAAACCUGCAGCUUAACUGUGGGCGUGCGGUCGAUACGGGCAUCACUGGAGUUCGGCAGGGGAGACUGGAAUUCCUGGUGUAGCGGUGAAAUGCGCAGAUAUCAGGAGGAACACCGGUGGCGAAGGCGGGUCUCUGGGCCGUAACUGACGCUGAGGAGCGAAAGCAUGGGGAGCGAACAGG
rnacentral:rRNA from 1 species